AGAACGAACGCUGGCGGCAUGCCUAACACAUGCAAGUCGAACGCUUUUGGGGCUUCGGUCCCAAAGGAGUGGCGCACGGGUGAGUAGCGCGUGGGAACCUGCCCUGUUGUGGGGGAUAACCGAGGGAAACUUCGGCUAAUACCGCAUACGCCCGGGGGAAACUCCGGGGAAAGAUUUAUCGCAGCAGGAGGGGCCCGCGUCGGAUUAGGUAGUUGGUGGGGUAACGGCCCACCAAGCCUGUGAUCCGUAGCUGGUCUGAGAGGAUGAUCAGCCACACUGGGACUGAGACACGGCCCAGACUCCUACGGGAGGCAGCAGUGGGGAAUAUUGGACAAUGGGCGCAAGCCUGAUCCAGCAAUGCCGCGUGAGUGAUGAAGGCCUUCGGGUUGUAAAGCUCUUUCGCACGCGACGAUGAUGACGGUAGCGUGAGAGACGCCCGGCUAACUCGUGCCAGCAGCCGC
rnacentral:rRNA from 1 species